rnacentral:tRNA from 1 species
GGCUGUGGCUCAGUGGUAGAGUGUUUGUUCAUCAUUCACAAGACCCUGGGUUCAAUCCCCAGCAGUACCA